rnacentral:lncRNA from 1 species
UACUAGAAUUAGCAAAACCAACCCAAGAGAUGCCCAAAAGGUUUAUCAUGGAGUGCAAUAGGAAACAUGCAUGUAUCAAUAUAGUGUAAUUCUCCCCACUCCAAUUUACUAUAUGCAAUGAUAGCCAUGAAUAUGUGCUACAGUAGAGUGAAACCAUUGUGGUGGCAAGAUGGUCUAGAAUAGAAGUGCUUGGACAUGGUGAUACGUGUGCAUGUGGACAAGAUUAAUGGUUCAGGCAAUUCAUCAAACAUUUAAGAGGCAACUCAUAAAUUACUCAGAAUUUCACUAAGUUACUAUCAAUUCAUAC